CCGAGGAAGCCCACCUGAACCAGCUUCUGCAACUAUAAAAGAGGCCUCCGAGAAGUAUCCUCCCAGGACUUGGCCAGGAAAUGGGAAGGGGGCUGGGCUUAUGGAGGUCCUCCUGUAUGCCCGGCUCUGCGCUCCCGCGUUGUAAGUCACCACCACCGCUGCCCGCCCCACCCCACUCCACUGUACAAAUACAGAGACUGAAGUUUCGAGAGGAGGAAGGCCUCAAGGGUCUGGCUUCACACCCAGCGCAUCCUGAGACUGAGCCCUCCCUCUCAGCCUGGCUUGAGAUUCUCUAUUACAGUAUUGAGAAGUUUCCACAACAGAGACUAAGACAGAAGGGAAGGGAACAGGACCCAAGCUUUGAAAGAAUGAUGCACAUCUUGAUGAUACGACUGAACUAGG